UGGAGAUGGGAGGGGUACUCGUGGUCGGGCGCAUCGAACGAGCCGCUCGAGACGCCGUCGAAGCUCUGGAUCGUAUGAAUGUGGCAGCCGCUUGGGCAGUGAUGGAGCAGCAGUGACCAGGACAGAGCGGAGGGACCGAGCGUGCCGUCUUGCUCGUCGGUAGCCCCUCCCGAGAAAUUGAUCACAUCGCCCACCUUCCAUCUGGUUUCGUUGGUCG
rnacentral:misc_RNA from 1 species